GCCUAACACAUGCAAGUCGAGCGGAAACGAUGGGAGCUUGCUCCCAGGCGUCGAGCGGCGGACGGGUGAGUAAUGCAUAGGAAUCUGCCCGAUAGUGGGGGAUAACCUGGGGAAACUCAGGCUAAUACCGCAUACGUCCUACGGGAGAAAGCAGGGGCUCCGUGUUCUUCGGAAUGGGGACCUUGCGCUAUCGGAUGAGCCUAUGUCGGAUUAGCUGGUUGGUGAGGUAUGGCUCACCAAGGCGACGAUCCGUAGCUGGUCUGAGAGGAUGAUCAGCCACAUCGGGACUGAGACACGGCCCGAACUCCUACGGGAGGCAGCAGUGGGGAAUAUUGGACAAUGGGCGCAAGCCUGAUCCAGCCAUGCCGCGUGUGUGAAGAAGGCCCUCGGGUUGUAAAGCACUUUCAGUGGGGAAGAAAGCCUCGGGGUUAAUACCCUCGAGGAAGGACAUCACCCACAGAAGAAGCACCGGCUAACUCCGUGCCAGCAGCCGCGGUAAUACGGAGGGUGCGAGCGUUAAUCGGAAUUACUGGGCGUAAAGCGCGCGUAGGUGGCUUGAUAAGCCGGUUGUGAAAGCCCCGGGCUCAACCUGGGAACGGCAUCCGGAACUGUCAGGCUAGAGUGCAGGAGAGGAAGGUAGAAUUCCCGGUGUAGCGGUGAAAUGCGUAGAGAUCGGGAGGAAUACCAGUGGCGAAGGCGGCCUUCUGGACUGACACUGACACUGAGGUGCGAAAGCGUGGGUAGCAAACAGGAUUAGAUACCCUGGUAGUCCACGCCGUAAACGAUGUCGACUAGCCGUUGGGUCCUUCGCGGACUUUGUGGCGCAGUUAACGCGAUAAGUCGACCGCCUGGGGAGUACGGCCGCAAGGUUAAAACUCAAAUGAAUUGACGGGGGCCCGCACAAGCGGUGGAGCUUGUGGUUAAAUUCGAUGCAACGCGAAGAACCUUACCUACCCUUGACAUCGUGCGAACCAGGUAGAGAUACCUGGGUGCCUUCGGGAACGCACAGACAGGUGCUGCAUGGCUGUCGUCAGCUCGUGUUGUGAAAUGUUGGGUUAAGUCCCGUAACGAGCGCAACCCUUGUCCUUAUUUGCCAGCGCGUAAUGGCGGGAACUCUAAGGAGACUGCCGGUGACAAACCGGAGGAAGGUGGGGACGACGUCAAGUCAUCAUGGCCCUUACGGGUAGGGCUACACACGUGCUACAAUGGCCGGUACAAAGGGUUGCGAAGCCGCGAGGUGGAGCCGAUCCCGAAAAGCCGGUCUCAGUCCGGAUCGGAGUCUGCAACUCGACUCCGUGAAGUCGGAAUCGCUAGUAAUCGUGAAUCAGAAUGUCACGGUGAAUACGUUCCCGGGCCUUGUACACACCGCCCGUCACACCAUGGGAGUGGACUGCACCAGAAGUGGUUAGCCUAACUUCGGAGGGCGAUCACCACGGUGUGGUUCAUGACUGGGGUGAAGUCGUAACAAGGUAGCCGUAGGGGAACCUGC
rnacentral:rRNA from 1 species